rnacentral:rRNA from 1 species
UAGGGAAUCUUCGGCAAUGGACGAAAGUCUGACAGAGCAACGCCGCGUGAGUGAAGUAGGUUUUCGGAUCGCAAAACUCUGUUGUUAGAGAAGAACAAGGACGGGAGUAACUGAACGUCCCCUGACGGUAUCUAACCAGAAAGCCACGGCUAACUACGUGCCAGCAGCCGUGGUAAUACGUAGGUGGCAAGCGUUGUCCGGAUUUAUUGGGCGUAAAGCGAGCGCAGGCGGUUUCUUAAGUCUGAUGUGAAAGCCCCCGGCUCAACCGGGGAGGGUCAUUGGAAACUGGGAGCCUUGAGUGCAGAAGAGGAGAGUGGAAUUCCAUGUGUAGCGGUGAAAUGCGUAGAUAUAUGGAGAAACACCAGUGGCGAGGGCGGCUCUCUGGUCUGAAACUGACGCUGAGGCUCGAAAGCGUGGGGAGCAAACAGG